rnacentral:rRNA from 1 species
GAUAAACGCUGGCGGCGUGCCUAAUACAUGCAAGUUGAGCGGUAAGGUUCUACACCCACUAUUUGACCAGAUAAGUUUCUUGCAAAAGAAAUACUGUCUGCAGCGAUGAUCUCUGGCUGAGAUUAUAGUCGAAUGAUGAGUGUAGAAUACACGAGCGGCGGACGGCAGAGUAACGCGUAGGAACGUACCCAAACAGAGGCAUAAGCCCGGGAAACCGGGUCUAAACCGCAUAAUAUCUUCGGAUUAAAGCUUCGGCGGUUUGGGAGCGGCCUGCGUAUGAUUAGCUAGUUGGUGAGGUAAUGGCUCACCAAGGCGACGAUCAUUAGCUGGUCUGAGAGGAUGAUCAGCCUGACU